rnacentral:rRNA from 1 species
ACUCCUACGGGAGGCAGCAGUGGGGAAUAUUGCACAAUGGGCGCAAGCCUGAUGCAGCCAUGCCGCGUGUAUGAAGAAGGCCUUCGGGUUGUAAAGUACUUUCAGCAGUGAGGAAGGUGGUGUCGUUAAUAGCGGCAUCAUUUGACGUUAGCUGCAGAAGAAGCACCGGCUAACUCCGUGCCAGCAGCCGCGGUAAUACGGAGGGUGCGAGCGUUAAUCGGAAUUACUGGGCGUAAAGCGCAUGCAGGUGGUUUGUUAAGUCAGAUGUGAAAGCCCGGGGCUCAACCUCGGAAUUGCAUUUGAAACUGGCAGACUAGAGUACUGUAGAGGGGGGUAGAAUUUCAGGUGUAGCGGUGAAAUGCGUAGAGAUCUGAAGGAAUACCGGUGGCGAAAGGCGGCCCCCU